GAUGAACGCUGGCGGCGUGCCUAAUACAUGCAAGUCGAGCGAACGGACGAGAGUCUUGCUUCUCUGAUGUUAGCGGCGGACGGGUGAGUAACACGUGGAUAACCUACCUAUAAGACUGGGAUAACUUCGGGAAACCGGAGCUAAUACCGGAUGAUAUUUUGAACCGCAUGGUUCAACAGUGAAAGACGGUCUUGCUGUCACUUAUAGAUGGAUCCGCGCUGCAUUAGCUAGUUGGUAAGGUAACGGCUUACCAAGGCAACGAUGCAUAGCCGACCUGAGAGGAUGAUCGGCCACACUGGAACUGAGACACGGUCCAGACUCCUACGGGAGGCAGCAGUAGGGAAUCUUGCGCAAUGGGCGAAAGCCUGACGGAGCAACGCCGCGUGAGUGAUGAAGGUCUUCGGAUCGUAAAACUCUGUUAUUAGGGAAGAACAUAUGUGUAAGUAACUGUGCACAUCUUGACGGUACCUAAUCAGAAAGCCACGGCUAACUACGUG
rnacentral:rRNA from 1 species